UGAACGCUGGCGGCGUGCUUAACACAUGCAAGUCGAGCGAGAAAGUCUCCUUCGGGAGGCGAGUAAAGCGGCGGACGGGUGCGUAACACGUGGAUGACCUGCCUGAGAGUGGGGAAUAACUUGGGGAAACUCGAGCUAAUACCGCAUACGCUCGUACGGUCGAGGCUGUACGAGGAAAGCUGGCCUCUGUUUACAAGCUGGCGCUCACAGAGGGGUCCGCGCCUGAUUAGCUAGUUGGUGGGGUAACGGCCUACCAAGGCGACGAUCAGUAGCCGGCCUGAGAGGGUGAUCGGCCACACUGGGACUGAGACACGGCCCAGACUCCUACGGGAGGCAGCAGUGGGGAAUAUUGGACAAUGGGCGCAAGCCUGAUCCAGCAACGCCGCGUGGAGGAUGAAGGCCUUCGGGUCGUAAACUCCUGUCAGUAGGGAAGAAAAGCCCUUGGUCAACAGCCUUGGGUCAUGACGGUACCUGCAGAGGAAGCCCCGGCUAACUCCGUG
rnacentral:rRNA from 1 species